rnacentral:rRNA from 1 species
CCUACGGGAGGCUGCAGUGGGGAAUAUUGGACAAUGGGGGGAACCCUGAUCCAGCCAUGCCGCGUGUGUGAAGAAGGCCCUCGGGUUGUAAAGCACUUUCAGUGAGGAAGAACGCCUGGUGGUUAAUACCCAUCAGGAAAGACAUCACUCACAGAAGAAGCACCGGCUAACUCCGUGCCAGCAGCCGCGGUAAUACGGAGGGUGCGAGCGUUAAUCGGAAUUACUGGGCGUAAAGCGCGCGUAGGUGGCUUGAUAAGCCGGUUGUGAAAGCCCCGGGCUCAACCUGGGAACGGCAUCCGGACGGGCAGGUCAGAGUGCAGGAGAGGGAGGGAGAACUGGGGGGGGAGCGCCGAAAUGCGUAGAGCCCGGGAGGAGGAGCGGUGGCGAAGGGAGCCUGCAGGACUGACACUGACACUGGGGUUCGACGGCGUGAGUCGCACACCGGGUCAGGGGCCCUAGUGUUG